rnacentral:rRNA from 1 species
CACGGGGUUGCGAGCGUUGUCCGGAAUUACUAGGCAUAAAGGGCAGGCAGGCGGAUCCAUAAGUUUAUCGUUUAAGGCGUCGGCUUAACCGGCGUAGGGCGGUAGAUACUGUGGAUCUGGAAUGCGGUUGGGGAAGACAGAAUUCCUGGUGUAGCGGUGGAAUGCGCAGAGAUCAGGAGGAAUACCGAAGGCGAAGGCAGUCUUCCAAGCCGUUAUUGACGCUCAACUGCGAAGGUGUGGGUAUCAAACAGGAUUAGAUACCCGCGUAGUCCCU